UACGAAGGGGGCUAGCGUUGCUCGGAAUUACUGGGCGUAAAGGGAGCGUAGGCGGACAUUUAAGUCAGGGGUGAAAUCCCGAGGCUCAACCUCGGAACUGCCUUUGAUACUGGGUGUCUUGAGUGUGAGAGAGGUGAGUGGAACUCCGAGUGUAGAGGUGAAAUUCGUAGAUAUUCGGAAGAACACCAGUGGCGAAGGCGACUCACUGGCUCAUUACUGACGCUGAGGCUCGAAAGCGUGGGGAGCAAAC
rnacentral:rRNA from 1 species